rnacentral:lncRNA from 1 species
AUGAAACUAGGAAAAUUAAAUGAAGACUGUAAAACAAAAAAAAAGCUACAAUUAAUUAAAAAUCAAAACCUCAAGCCAGGUGCGGGGGGCCCUGCCUGUAAUCCCAGCACUUUGGGAGGCCAAGACCCACAGGGAGGUGAAAUAGGAAUGGCAGAGGCUGCGAUCAUCUGUGCAAUCAGGAAUGUGAGGUGUGAAGAGCCACAAGAUCUUCAGAGAGAGGUCUCCGGCUGGGUCCAGCUGGAUGCAACUACUAAGAUAGAAGCUGCUCAUGCAGGGGAGGGGGUAGGAGGAGCCAGAGAGAUGGAAAGUCCUGUUUGGGCAGGAAGUGCCCGCAUCUCUGAGUCUCACCUCUGGGCCAUCUCAAUGUCGACCCACUCUCCUGCUGCUCCAGAGUGCCCGAGGCCUUCUCAGAUGCCACCGGCACUGACGAUUUGA